AGUGGCGGACGGGUGAGUAACGCGUGGGUAACCUGCCUCACACAGGGGGAUAACAGUUGGAAACGACCGCUAAUACCGCAUAACCCGCUGGUAUCGCAUGAUACUGACGGAAAAGAUUUAUCGGUGUGAGAUGGACCCGCGUCUGAUUAGCCAGUUGGCAGGGUAACGGCCUACCAAAGCGACGAUCAGUAGCCGGCCUGAGAGGGUGAACCGGCCACAUUGGGACUGAGACACGGCCCAAACUCCUACGGGAGGCAGCAG
rnacentral:rRNA from 1 species